rnacentral:snRNA from 1 species
UCGGAUCUUACUCUUCUGUGA